AUUGAACGCUGGCGGCAGGCUUAACACAUGCAAGUCGAGCGGAGACUUCGGUCUUAGCGGCGAACGGGUGAGUAAUACCUAGGAAUCUGCCUAUUAGUGGGGGAUAACGGCUCGAAAGGGUCGCUAAUACCGCAUACGUCCUACGGGAGAAAGAGGGGGAUCUUCGGACCUCUUGCUAAUAGAUGAGCCUAGGCCGGAUUAGCUAGUUGGUAGGGUAAAGGCCUACCAAGGCGACGAUCCGUAGCUGGUCUGAGAGGAUGAUCAGCCACACUGGAACUGAGACACGGUCCAGACUCCUACGGGAGGCAGCAGUGGGGAAUAUUGGACAAUGGGCGCAAGCCUGAUCCAGCCAUGCCGCGUGUGUGAAGAAGGCCUUCGGGUUGUAAAGCCCUGUGGGGGAGAACGAACCGUACGGGGGCGAAUACCCUCCGUGCCUGACGAUACUCCUUUAGCAAGCAUCGGCUAACUCUGUG
rnacentral:rRNA from 1 species